UGGGCGACUCUAAGGAGGACUGCCGGUGACAAACCGGAGGAAGGUGGGGAGUGACGUCAAGUCAUCAUGGCCCUUACGGCCUGGGCUACACACGUGCUACAAUGGUCGGUACAAAGGGUUGCCAAGCCGCGAGGUGGAGCUAAUCCCAUAAAACCGAUCGUAGUCCGGAUCGCAGUCUGCAACUCGACUGCGUGAAGUCGGAAUCGCUAGUAAUCGUGAAUCAGAAUGUCACGGUGAAUACGUUCCCGGGCCUU
rnacentral:rRNA from 1 species